rnacentral:rRNA from 1 species
CCUACGGGAGGCAGCAGUAGGGAAUAUUGGACAAUGGGCGCAAGCCUGAUCCAGCCAUGCCGCGUGAGUGAUGAAGGCCUUAGGGUUGUAAAGCUCUUUUGCCAGGGAAGAUAAUGACUGUACCUGGAGAAUAAGCCCCGGCUAACUUCGUGCCAGCAGCCGCGGUAAUACGAAGGGGGCUAGCGUUGUUCGGAAUCACUGGGCGUAAAGCGCACGUAGGCGGACUUUUAAGUCAGGGGUGAAAGCCUGAGGCUCAACCUCAGAACUGCCCUUGAUACUGGGAGUCUUGAGUAUGGUAGAGGUUGGUGGAACAGCAAGUGUAGAGGUGAAAUUCGUAGAUAUUUGCUAGAACACCAGUGGCGAAGGCGGCCAACUGGACCAUAACUGACGCUGAGGUGCGAAAGCGUGGGGAGCAAACAGGAUUAGAUACCCUGGUAGUCCACGCCGUAAACGAUGGAUGCUAGCCGUUAGCCAGCUUGCUGGGUAGUGGCGCAGGUAACCCUUUAAGCAUCCCGCCUGGGGAGGUACGGUCGCAGAUAAACUACAAGAAGUAGAGCGNGAGAGNGCGACGACGACACGAGGGAGAG